rnacentral:lncRNA from 1 species
CUUCUUUCUAGCUUCCACAUAUGAGAGAACAUUUUUGACCCUUGUCUUUCUGCAUCAAUACAUGCACAGAUAAACUCAACCCAACUUUUCUCAAAAGAAGAAAUACAAAUGGUCAACAAAUAUGUGAAAAUAUGCUCAAUGUCCUUAGCAACCAGGGAAAUGCAAGUCAAAACUGCCCUGAGGUCUCAUCUCACCCAGGUUAGAAUGGCAAGCACCAAGAAUAUAAAUAGUAAUAAUGCUGGCAAAGAUGUGGGGAGAGAGAACACGUGUACAUUGUUGGUAGGAUUUAAAAAAUGCUUUUCUUUGUAACUCGUCAGCAUGCUGGAACCUCUUGAUCUAUUCUGCAUGUUUCUCAGUUUUUCGAGGCCUGGGGUGGAUUUCUUUUGGCUUUUGAGAGCCGCUGUACUCAGGAGCAUCUUUUUGGUAGCAUUUAAUUACUAGAUGGAGGCUGCAGACUGACUUGAUUCUGGUGUAUUUUUGUUUUUAUUGAUUUCUGUGUCCUGUCUUCCAAUAUAUGUCAUUUCCUUUCUACUGUCAAGCAUAGACUUUAUCCCCUUUAUUGGGUUUUUAUUUGUUACAUAUGCACCUUGAAGAUCUUAAAUGAUCUCUAUUUCCUUGCAUUUUAAAAGUACCCGCACCUGUUCUCAUUUUAUAGUUUCUUGUUCUUUUUGAUCUUCAGUAUUAAUGUGUUGGCAUCACCAGGGGUAAAUCCCUACACCGGCUGUUCAUUUCCCUCUGCACCUCUUUGCGAGCCCUUUCUUGCUCUGAGGGGUGUGGGCUUGCUAGCUCACUGAGGGUGCUGCUGCUGCUUCUGAGCUCUCCACUUUUCACCGUCACUUUGCUGUGCCCCUCUGUCUAGCAGUUUUUCAC